CACUCGGUUCGAAACGCCCGGACGAGCGGCUCGCUACGAGCUGCUUUGACAGAUGUAAACUGGCCUUAAACGACAUCUACGAUUCUUCCUGAUCCACUACCUCUGUUAUUCUUCAAGACGCAUCAAGUCUGUUAAUUGCAUCGGCAUGCACCUUUAACUGAUACCUGUUGAUUACACUAGCAUUGCACCUUUGAUAUAUACAAAAAGAAGUUGCACAUCUCUCUCCUAGUCUUUCCUUCGCCUAGCAGUAAAUUCAGUAGAAAAUCAUUCAAAAAAGAUUGGUCAUCUGAAGGAGAGAAUGCGGAAUAGUGCUUGAAAUUAAUAGUCUCAACAAAGAGGGAAAAAAUAUGACUGACUGUACUCUAUACAGAAUCCAAAUAUUCAUGGGUUCGAUGUGAUGGACAGUUUUACAGAACAUAUUAUUAUAGUUGCAGCAGUGCAAGAAUAAAAUUCCGCCUGUUUCACUGCACCAAGACUUUGGACUAUAGACUUUGAACUGUGGAUUUUGAAUAUAAACUUUGAACUAUGGACUUUGUUGGAACUAUAAACUGCUCUUCAUUACUACUACUUCUUUUUCGUCGCAUAUUAUGUUCGAGAUUACGUACAUAUUUUAAGGAGUUAUGUCAUAUAUUAUGUUUAAAAUUUUUGUAUUACAUUCAAAAUUCUGUACAUUUAUUAUUAUGCUCCAAAUUUUUGCAUUACAGUCCAAACUAUGAAUCAUUCCAAAUUAUGUAUUAAUUCUAAAUUAUGUAUUCAUUCCAAAUUAUGUAUCUAUUUUGUUAAUAUUAAUAAACGGCUGGGGUCACAUGGAUAAAUGGAUCACAUGGCGCUAAACCAAUUAACCAAAUGGUAAAGUUUACCCGGCCAAAUGGUAAAGGCCCGUCUUCCCCGUUCCUAAAUCCUAACAAAGUCAGUGGAACUUCAACUUAAAUACUGCUCUUUCUCAUUUGCAUUAAUUGCCAUUCUAAAAGCACAUUCUGGAAGGAAAUUGUAAGCUGAAAUUAGGUGAGAUAGGAAAGUUAUCUUUAACUAAAGAUAACUGUUAAAAAUUUAGGAAAAACCUUACAAUGUUAUAAGGAAGUUUUCUGUUUAAUUGCGAUUUUGCGUGGUCUAAUCUUUAAUUCACUUUUCAUUCGAUUGUGUUGCAGUUUAGAAAAACGUGAGAUAUUAGUCUUGCAUAUUUAAUCUGUUUGUUAUUAAUUAACAAAGUAAACUAUUUAAAAGCAAUAAAAGCGUAUCUUAUUUUAUUUAUUUUUUUACUUUUUAAUCUAAUUGAUUUCAAUAAAAAUCCAUUUAAUUCAAGAUCUAUCUAAUUAAAAACAUUAAAUAUUUUUAUACAAUUACAUUACAUAUUCUUCACUUUUACUUAUAAAUAUAUAACGUUCCCAUAUUCACACAUAUUCCCUAAUCGCAUAUUCAUCUAAUACCCUAUAAAAUAUUUCGCUUUUCCACUUGUGCCUUCCUAUCGAUAAUCCUUACUGAAAACUUAUAUUAAAAUUUAAAACAGACCUUUUGGACGUUCUUUAAAAUCUGAACUCUUUCAGUUUUUUUUUGUUCUUCGUCUUCGCACAACUUUUGCGUGAAAAUUACCCGACCUAGGUUUCAGUAAAGCCUGCAGGAAAAUUAUUAUGAUCUGGAACUUUAAUAUUGAUUCCACACAUUUGAAAAAGAAUUAGAGGAAAUAACAGAAUUCUUACAGAAAACUAUAAAAUAGUUCAGAAACAUUGUUUUAAAACUUCCGAACAAAAUUUGACAUGCUUUGAAUAUUAUUGCCUAAUAGAAACGAAGCAUAGCAAUACUUAAUGAGAUUAAUUUUGCGAAAGAUUCGAUAUUUGAAAAUUCAAAAAACCACUCGUUUUUCGUCAUAAGAAUCCUUUGAAUCCUAUCUAAAAGAUAGUUAAAUGUUUCAACGAUAUCUUUGGAAAGAUUAGUUUUUGACAUACUAUUUAAGUGCUCAUUGGAUUACAAGGAUAAUACUAAAUAAUAUAUAAUAAAGGCUAUCCUGUUUCACGUGAUUAUCUUUAUACAAUUACUGACAUCGCAAUUAAGAAAAUUUCAAGACCCUUUUCUCCAUCAGCUUUAAGUAUUCAAAUUCCAUCCACUGUUUUUCAUUCAUUCCUAAACGUAACCUUCUUCUUUACAAAUGUUUCUAAAAAUAUGAUUUUAUAGUUUUCUUCAAACCUAUGAAUAAAAGGAAGUUCUCAUUUAUAUAAGUCAAAAUACUGCACCUUCAUUCAUGGAGGUAUUAAAAAAGUAUUUUGAGUAUCAUUUUUGCGUGUGUAUGUAAAGUGUAUAGAAAAGUACGGAAAUUAAAUGAAACAAACCCGUCUUCAGUUGCUGUUCACUGCUGGGAUAAAAACCACAAUUUUAGAUUUACGGAAGCAAUUAGUUUGUUAAGACUUUGCUUGCACUAACUCGUUUUUCAUUUUGGAUUUCGUAGAAGAUUCAGAAAUAUUUCUGCGCAACAUUCUAGUUAAUGAUGUGUUCAACUUUUACAAUGUGUAUCCUAACAACAACACUUUGACGAAGUUCAAUAAAGUCCAAAGAAACUGCGAA